GACGAACGCUGGCGGCGUGCCUAAUACAUGCAAGUCGAGCGAAGUUUUUCUGGUGCUUGCACCGGAAAAACUUAGCGGCGAACGGGUGAGUAACACGUAAAGAACCUGCCUCAUAGACUGGGACAACUAUUGGAAACGAUAGCUAAUACCGGAUAACAGCAUUAACUGCAUGGUUGAUGUUUAAAAGUUGGUUUUGCUAACACUAUGAGAUGGCUCUGCGGUGCAUUAGCUAGUUGGUGGGGCAAAGGCCUACCAAGGCGACGAUGCAUAGCCGACCUGAGAGGGUGAUCGGCCACACUGGGACUGAGACACGGCCCAGACUCCUACGGGAGGCAGCAGUAGGGAAUCUUCCGCAAUGGGCGAAAGCCUGACGGAGCAACGCCGCGUGAGUGAAGAAGGAUUUCGGUUCGUAAAGCUCUGUUGUUAGGGAAGAAUGAUUGUGUAGUAACUA
rnacentral:rRNA from 1 species